GCCGGGGUGGCAGAGCGGACAAACGCGGCAGGCUCGAGACCUGUUGUCCCUUCCAGGGACACUUGGGUUCAAAUCCCAACCCCGGCG
rnacentral:tRNA from 1 species